CACGUAGGGGGCAAGCGUUGUCCGGAUUUAUUGGGCGUAAAGAGCUCGUAGGCGGCUCGGUAAGUCGGGUGUGAAACCUCCAGGCUCAACCUGGAGACGCCACCUGAUACUGCUGUGGCUAGAGUCCGGUAGGGGAGUGUGGAACUCCUGGUGUAGCGGUGAAAUGCGCAGAUAUCAGGAAGAACACCAGCGGCGAAGGCGGCACUCUGGGCCGGAACUGACGCUGAGGAGCGAAAGCGUGGGUAGCAAACAGG
rnacentral:rRNA from 1 species